rnacentral:rRNA from 1 species
GACGAACGCUGGCGGCGUGCCUAAUACAUGCAAGUAGAACGCACAGUUUAUACCGUAGCUUGCUACACCAUAGACUGUGAGUUGCGAACGGGUGAGUAACGCGUAGGUAACCUGCCUGGUAGCGGGGGAUAACUAUUGGAAACGAUAGCUAAUACCGCAUAAUAUUAAUUAUUGCAUGAUAAUUAAUUGAAAGGUGCAAUUGCACCACUACCAGAUGGACCUGCGUUGUAUUAGCUAGUAGGUGAGGUAACGGCUCACCUAGGCGACGAUACAUAGCCGACCUGAGAAGGUGAUCGGCCACACUGGGACGGAGACACGGCCCAGACUCCUACGGGAGGCAGCAGUAGGGAAUCUUCGGCAAUGGACGAAAGGCUGACCGAGCAACGCCGCGUGAGUGAAGAAGGUUUUCGGAUCGUAAAGCUCUAUUGUAAGAGAAGAACGGGUGUGGGAGUGGAAAGUUCACACUGUGACGGUAUCUUACCAGAAAGGGACGGCUAACUACGUG